rnacentral:rRNA from 1 species
GACGAACGCUGGCGGCGUGCUUAACACAUGCAAGUCGAGCGGUAAGGCCUUUCGGGGUACACGAGCGGCGAACGGGUGAGUAACACGUGGGUGAUCUGCCCUGCACUCUGGGAUAAGCUUGGGAAACUGGGUCUAAUACCGGAUAUGACUACAGCAUGCAUGUGUUGUGGUGGAAAGAUUUAUCGGUGCAGGAUGGGCCCGCGGCCUAUCAGCUUGUUGGUGGGGUAAUGGCCUACCAAGGCGACGACGGGUAGCCGACCUGAGAGGGUGACCGGCCACACUGGGACUGAGACACGGCCCAG